CACUAUCUGUUAAAGGAGCAGUCUGCUCUGCUAAAACUGCCGACCCCUGCUGAAGGAAGGACGCUGAAAAGUUAUCCCUGGUCCUCGGCGGAUGCACUCCUGAAGUCCAGAGUUCAGAAUAAACUGUUUAAGUCCUA